GUGUCUUUGCGCUUCUUUAGAGAGACUCCACGCAUCCUUGGUUAAGUCAUAAAAGGCUUAUUGGUUUCGAUUCCAAGUCACUUGGUAGAUACCUUUGGUUUUCUUUCUUUUUUAAAAAGGCGGAAAAGUACAAUACUGCCAGGAAUAUUUGCUGUUUGUCCUGGCUAAAAUCUGAUAGUGCAAUAUUUCAAAGGAUUUUUUUUUUUUUUUUUUGGAGACGGAGUUUCACUCUUUUUGCCCAGGCUGGAGUGCAAUGGUGAGAUUGCAGCUCACUGCAACCUCUGCCUCCCAGGUUCAAGCAAUUCUCCUGCCUCAGUCUCCCUAGUAGGAUGGAUUACAGGUGUGCGCCACCACACCUGGCUAUUUUUAGUACAGACAGGGUUUCACCAUGUUGGCCAGGCUGGUCUCGAACUCCUGACCUCAAGUGAUCCACCCACCUCAGCCUCCCAAAGUGCUGGGAUUAUAGGAGUCAGCCACUGCACCCGGCUAGGUUUUUUUUGUUUUUUUUUUUUGUUUGUUUUUUUUAAGUGCUCUAUGGUCAGAAGUCGGCUUGACUGGAAGAUGAUAUUGACGCUGUGCUUUUUUUCAGGCCUCUCUGCUCUUGUUCUCUCUUUGGGAUCCUGCUUCUCCCAUGGGAACUUCUCAGUUGACUGAGAAUCUCUUUUCGAACCACUGAUAAUUACAUCUCGGGCCCUCAGCCGCUUCCUUUCUUCUUGGUGUGAUUUUUCCUAAGGAUAAUAUAGAACUUCAUUAGUCUUUUCGGGAAAUGUGAGAUCGCCCCAAAUUGGCUCCUGGAAGACCUCUUCUUUCCUUUGCUUCCGCUCUUCCUCCCUUUGUCCACUUUGAGCUUCUAUGCAGCUCCCUUGUACCUUUAAAUACGUUCCACUUUGAGCCCCCACCUCCACCUGGUGGUCAGUGGAUAGAAAAUUGCUGAAAGGAAACAUCGGAGGUAAAAAGAAAUGCCUCUUCUUAAAUGCUUGAUUGCUGUAACCACAUAGAGGUGGAAGCCCAUCUGCAAAACCACCUCCUAAAAUGAGACACAGCUGUUAAGUGUUUAACUGAACUGAACUAUUUGUGGAACUGAGAGACUGGUUCAGUGGCCUGUGGGACAAUCCACCAACCCCAUUUCUGGACUUUUCCCAAGAAGUUUCAGACAGGGGAAUACUGGGGCUCAGAAAAUGAUGCUUCUAAAUCUGGUGCCUUGGCAUGCUGAGUACCUUGAACUAAAGGAGAUUGUGAAAGCCUCAGAAGCAAAGUUGCUCUAAGACCUUCUUCCAUCUUCCUGUCUCCUAUCCCUCAUUCUCCCCUGAAACAAGUCAUGGAAACCAGAAUUCCUCUUCCCUAAGGCAGAUCAUAGAAAUUCAAACUCCUCUCUCCUAGAGCGAGCCAUAAAGCCUAGGAGGCCACGCUUUCCCUUCUCUCUCUUCCCUCCUCCCUGGAGGACCCUCAUUCCAGAGGUGCUGCCCCAUACCCAGGAGGAAGGACUGCUACAGAGAGGCCAAGAAGCAUCUGAACAGACAAGCCUUGCUGGGUUUCUGCUGUCAGUCUAUUACAAUUCGAUCACUCUUCUGUCCAAUCGCAUUUUUACAUGGCUGUCCAUUCUUCAUUGAACAGAGGCAUAAAAACAGUUUUCCUUGGGUCUUUGGGUCUUCGUUUCUGAAAGCUCCUGUAUCACAUAAAAUUUUGAUUAAAUUAAUCUGUUAAGCUUUUCCCUUGUUAACUCCCUCUUUCAUUAUAGGAGUUUCAACUAUGGCCCUUAUGAUAGCUGAGGAAAGAUAUCAUACCUUUUCUGCCUCUGCAUUGGGCAAAUUACUUCUUUCUGAACAUUAUCUCUGCGUAAUGCUUGUCACUGAAAUAAUACUUACCCCACAAAAUACUUGUCUCUGAAAUUAACUCUGAACAUCAGUUUCCUACUCGAUAAAAUGGUGUAGCAAUUGCUGUUGCAUGUGGUUGUUUUAAAAAUCAAAUUCAAGCUGGGCAUAGUGGCAUGCACCUGUAGUCCCAGCUAUUUGAGAGACUGAGGUGGGAGGAUUGCUUGAGCCCAGGAGGUCGAGGCUGCAGUGAGCAAUGAUCGUGC
rnacentral:lncRNA from 10 species